GUGUCAGCCGCCGCGGUAAGACGGACCGUCCGAACGUUACUCGGAAUUACUGGGCUUAAAGGGUGCGUAGGCGGCCUCGCAAGUCGGGUGUGAAAUCCCUCGGCUCAACCGAGGAAUUGCGCUCGAUACUGCGGGGCUCGAGGGAGAUAGAGGUGAGCGGAACUUGCGGUGGAGCGGUGAAAUGCGUUGAUAUCGCAAGGAACACCGGAGGCGAAAGCGGCUCACUGGGUCUCUCCUGACGCUGAGGCACGAAAGCUAGGGGAGCGAACGGGAUUAGAUACCCCGGUAGUCCUAGCCCUAAACGAUGAGCACUAGACCGAGGAACUCUCCAUGGUUUCUUGGUCGUAGGGAAACCGUUAAGUGCUCCGCCUGGGGAGUAUGGUCGCAAGGCUGAAACUCAAAUGAAUUGGCGGGG
rnacentral:rRNA from 1 species